rnacentral:lncRNA from 1 species
GUAGCGGGUUGGAAAGAAUACGAAUUAUCCCUCAGUUCGAGGUCAUGGCAAUGCCUUCAAAUUAAGAGAGAAGAAGAAAAUGUAAUAAUAUUAUUUGCUGCCUUAUUUUAUUUCAUUAUCAUCAUCUUAGAGUACAAAGUCAUAAGGUUUGUGAAAGUAAAAAAACAAAUUUAUUGGGUAUCAACAAUAAAUAAAUAAAAGACAGCUCGUGAAAUAUUCUUACAAAAGGUAUAUUGUGUAUAUCUUUUGUUACUCCAACAACUAAUUAUUUAUAAUAUGAAAUUUGUGUACUCCGUUGGGUAUGGUACUCAUAGGUUCAAUGGAACCCAUUGGCACACAUUUACAAUGAUUGUGAAUGCACCUUUUGAUUAUAGGAAACAAGCAUAGAAUGUAUUCACAAUCAGCAUCAGUAGAACAUUCAUCUGUAUAUGCUGCAAUGAAAAAGGGAAUUGAAAAACAUUUGUAAAAUGGGAUGAAAUUUUAUGUACAAGCUAUUAAGUAAUUUAAUAAAAUUCUAAAAGAAUGAAAAAAUGACUUACAUGCAACAAGAAAUAUGGAAUGAAAUACAAUCAUAGCAUAAAACAACAUGAGAAUUUUAGUCAUAUUUUAUCCUCUUUGUAGGUAAAAAAAUAUAAUAUGGUUAAUAACUUUAUAAUGCCU